rnacentral:lncRNA from 1 species
CAGCAGCAUGCAAAUGCAUCUCGGCGUAGGUGAUGGACAGAUCGGUAAACAGCCACCAUGUUUAAAUUGCCAGGGGAACAAGAAGAAUCCAAUACUGAUCUUUGAUGCUUGCAUGCUCUGGGUCUUUGCUGGUUUUACUUGGUUGAAUUUGGGUAUGUACUGGAGCUUAUCGUCUGGAGGUCACCGUGAUGUUAUGUUAUUAGUUAUAGCUCUAUUGAAAGCCCCCAGGGUGCGGUGCUGGUGAGUUGUAUGAUCCACUUAGGGCGCACUAAAAUAGUUUUCUGCAUCAGACCCAUACUGUGUCUUUAUCAUAGUUUCUCAGAUAAGGAAAAUUAGGAUUAGGGUCAUGUUGUAUAUUCUUAUAAUUUCUUUUUUAUCUAGUGAUUUAAAAGUUAGCCAUUUUUAUUUGGUUGCAGAACCAAGUUCCCAAACAUGGUUUUCACCUUUUCUCUUGAUGUGAAUAUGUUUUGGAAAUUGGCGACACGGGCUGCUUAUGCUUAAUCUCUGUUCUGCCUUUUGUCCAAUUUUACUUUCCUUUUGGUCGAGUCUGUUGUUAUUCUGUUGUUUGUGCAGCAUGUCUUUAGCAAGCUGCCACUAAAAUAGUUUUCUGCAUCAGACCCGUACUAUGUCUUCAGACUUUCACAGUCCACAGCGAGGAAGAGAUGUGUGGUCCCUUUACCCUUCGUUUCCCUUUACCUUUACAGCUGAGGUUAAUGGUUAUUUUUUAAAGUAUUUUUUAUUUUAAAAUAUUUUAAAAUAAUAUAUAUUUUAAAAAAAUUAUUUUUUAUAUUAAUGUAUUAAAAUUAUAUAAAAAUAUAGAAAAAUUAAUUUAACUUUUUAAAAAAAUUUGCCCAACUCCCAACGAGUCUAGUCGAUCAAUGUGAUUGAAUUAUUAACAUCUACAACCUAUUUAGAGGCCAGGUGUGGGACGUGGUUAGAUGUUUUUUUUAAGUGCUGGAAAUGUAUUUCGAAGAAAGAAAGAAAUUUGUUAUUAUAGCUUUGGAUCAAAGAAGUUGGCUUUAAAAGUUUUGCUUUAUAAAAAAAAUAAAGAUUUUUAAUUAUACAAAAGUAUUUUGAGAAUCAAAUUUGAAAUACAAACUAAAUUUUAUUUUUGAUGGAAGAGCAAUUAAAAAGAAAAAUUAAUUUAAUAAGAAUGAAUUAAAAUUGAAAUAAAAAAUAAAAAUAAUCUUUUGAUUGAAGAGUAAAGUUAAGAAAAAUUAUUUUCAUAAAUUUUUUUAAAAAAAUGAUGAUUAAAUUGAAAAGUAUAACAAAUCACAAAUUAGGAUUAAAAAAUGCAAUUGAAAACAAAUUAAAAUUUUAUUAAAAGCUAUAAGCUAAAAAAAAAAAAAGGAUAGAAGUUAAAAUCUCUAGAAAUUAGAGGAUAACAAUAAAUAAUUUUCAUGGCCAUCGUGAAUCUCGAGGGGAGGAGAGGAAAAAAAAAAAAAAAGUGUCACGGGAUGCAAAAUCUGUCACAACUGAUGUCACAACUGAUCACACACGUACACCUAAAAAAAAGAGGAAACUGCCAACAACAUAAUGGAAGGGAGAUUUUCGCUAUAGGGAGACACCAUACGCUCCAUUUAAAGGAUGUGAACAUAUGCAUUAGCCACCUUUUAAUAUUUAUAUUUAUUCAAUUAUCGAAUUGCCUCCUCACUGACUUGAUAAUAACAAAAAAACCCAUUAUGAAAAUCAAAAAAACCUCUUGAUGUUUUUUUAUUUUUUAUUUUUUUUCUUUUAAUAACAUUUUAGCUGUUUCAAUGUGCUUUUGAAAUUGAAAAAGAUUUAUUUGUUUUGGUUCAAUUUAAUAAUGAAUGAUAGGACAUGAAAAUACAUCAAUGCUUCCCAUAGUUUAGUUUUUUUGUGGGAAGAGCAAAAUUGUGUAAACAUGGUUAUAAUAAACAUGUUUUCCUCUCUUGUUUUAGGUUUUGUUAUUUAGUGAUUCAAGAGGAGAGAUUUUAUCACGGCUUAUGAGCAACUACCACUAAUUAAUAAAUAGAGAAAUGAAAAGGAUUAAAAAUAUAUAUUUCUAGACUAGAUCAAAAUGUAAAAAUAUAUAUUUCUAGACUAUAGAUGGAAAUGUUUAAAUAUAUUUUGGUGAGACUGGUUUAUUUUUUUCUUUCAUCUUCUUUCUUUAUAUCUUAAUUCUACAUUAUUAUAAAAUAUUAUUUAAGAGAGAGUGAAGGUUAGACAGAGAGAAGGGAGCAAGGAGGGAAAGAAAACUCAAAUUAUCCAUUUGAUUAUCUAGUUAGGUUAAGAAAGGAAAGAGAGUGCUGAUGAUUGAAAACAAUUAAGGAAAAAGAAUCACUAUAGUUCAUGCUUUUGUCAUUUUCAAUCGUGUGAUCUACCAAGAUCCAAUGUGCUCAGGAAUGGAAUUUUAAGUGUUUGGAAAAUGAAUGAUCGCACGUUCAUGUCAGUAUUUAAUUUCUAAGAAUUGGAAGAGUAGAGGGUUGGUGGUAGAAGUCUUAAUUACUACAAAACAAUAUUUUCUUGUAGGGUUUAGGGACCUUUCAAUGAUUAAGACUUUACAGUAAAAGAUUGCAAUAAAUGAGGAGAAGAUCAUUAAACUCUAAGAACAAGAAUGUUUGCUUUUAGCUUUUGUGUGAUAAAUGCUUUGAGAAUGUAUUAUAAGAGAAUAAAUAUUAUGAACCCUUUAACUGUACGGUUCAAAAAGUAUUUAUGGUCCUUGUUAUUUUGCUUAAGGGGUCACAAGUCUUUUCCUAUUCAAUAUCUUGGUAAGGAAAAAGUCCCUUAUAUCAAUAUUAAUGAUAUUGGAAAUGUCUUCUUACACAACAUUAAUGCUGAUGGACAAAUAAUAAAGCUAUAAAAAACUUGUAUAUCCUAUUUCAUAUACAACAUUAAUAUUAAUGGGAAUAACCCUUUCAUAGAGUUAAUUUUGAUUGAAAUAUAACCAGCUCUUAGAGAACUUUUAUAUACUUAGGGGUGUAGGGAAAUGACUAUUCUAAGCUCUUAUAAGGGUCCUAGGGAUAGCCUUGCGACCCAACAUGAGGCCAAAAAGUCCAUUGAUUAUAUGUUUGGAUCUAAAAUGAUUAUAAACUCAAGGAUUUUAGAUCUAGCAUCUUUCUAGAUCCACAUGUGUUUAGACUCAGCAUGUAGUCGAGCGCGAGGGAUUUAGGUCUAGAGUCUUCUGAGAUCCAUAUACGCUUGGACUCGGCAUGUAACCAAGUCCAAGGGAGUUGGGUCUGACGCCUUGCUAAACCCACAAGUGUUUUGGGAUCAGUGUGUAGCCGAACUUAAAAGGGUUGGAUCUAGCAUCUUGCAAAACCAUCAUGUGUUUGUGCUCUACAUGUAGUUAAGUCUAAGGUUGUUAAGUGUGUUGGGUUUGACAUCUUGCGAGACUUGCAAGUGUUUAAACUAAGCAUAUAGCUGAGCCUAAUGGUAUUGAGUAUGUUGGGUCUAAUAUCUUGCCAACUCCAAAUGCGUUUGGCUUCAAUUCGUAGUUGAACCUAAAUGUUUCAUGGCUAGAAAUAAAACUAGACGUACGUCACCUGGACUUGGUAUUUUAUCAAUACAUAAAGAGUUGUGUAUAAAAUAUGUUGAUCCAUAAAUAGCCCCUAAGUCUUUGCGUAUUCAAUACAUAAAGAUUUUGAAAAAGUCAUCUUUAAUGAAAUACGUUUUACCUUUCCAAUGACAUUUAUUUGUCUCAUGUAGAGUUGGGAUCCUUGUGGCCAGAUGACUCGUCCUUAUUUGGAAGAUGCCUUUUGAGAAGCAAAAUGACAACCUGCAAUUAACAUAAAAAUUAAAUGGAUUUCUAGAGAUAUGAGAUGACAUGAUAGGUCAUCCAUCAAACAAUAAGAGUGAUAAGUUAUUUCCUUUCUAAUCCUAGUCAUUUAUCUUCUUUUUUCUCUUACUAUCUCUUUUUGUGAUAUCUGUAAAAACAAAUUUGAAGAUUUAUUAAGCAAGUUAUGCUAUUUUUUAGAACAAGCUGUCAUUCGUGGUACUUCCACUUAACAAUUUCCCUUUUCUUUUAAUCAAAACCAAAUGAACCAUUAUAAAGUUAGGCUUGACCUUAGUAGGAAAGACAUUGCUUUCUCUAGCGAAGAGUUUAGAUUAUGACAAAAAACUAGAGGAAGCGACGAGGGACAAUGGUCCACUAGAUGGGGGCUAAAGAUUACAGAAGGUGGAACUUUAGUGUCCAUCUCUAGUAGGGGAAAGAUAGUUCCUAUCGUCAAAAAAGACCUUUCUUUAAUGCUUUGUGGGAGUCCUAAGGAAUAAAAAGGCUACCUCAAAUCCCUGAGGAUGACGUUCCUAGUGCUCUAGGCACCGAGGAGGUGGCUUUUACCUAUGUUUGAUAGCCUGAAGAACAUAUGGCUUAAUUUCCCUCCAAUGAUGAAAGGAUUAGUCAAGAGACCUUGGAUUCUGCACGGGGCCAUUACAAAAAUAUAGCCCUUGUAUGUAUGUAUAAAUUAGAGUACUCUUUCCUUUUUCAAGGUUUAUAAGGGACAUCUUUAGGUAUUAUAGACUGGGCUUGGGCCAACUGCACCCCAAUAGAUGGGUGAUCUUGUCAACUUUUGAUAAACCUUUUGAGGACUUAUUACCAAUUAGUUACGGUCUAAGCCUGAACGAGGAGAAAUUGUGUGAUGUGUUGCCCUUAGCCUCAACCGAGUAUGAUAUCAACAUGAUGGCCAAAGAGCAUUACUAGGCUAUAUUGCAAAUUAUACAACCUUAUUAUCCUUUAUUUUUGUUCAUCUAAGUUCAUUUCUGAUUUUACUUCUAUGCAGGGUUAACAACAUAAGAAGAAGGAUAAAGUUUAACUAGAUUCGCAUAAGGAAGCUUAUUUACAAUAAGGAGGGGGUCCUCGUCUCUUGAUGUGAGUGAGACCGUUACUAGAGAAGAGAUGGAGCAGGGCCCCUCAUUAUAGAUGGGCUUUAUAUUUUUAAGGAUAUGAUUCAUAAGAGAGAAAUAACAAGGGCUAGGAUUUUUGCAACAAUAGAAGCUAAGGUAAGUCGUACGUUCCUAGUUGGGGGUCAAACAUAUCUAACCCCUCUUGAAAUUAUUAUGGGUGUUUCUGCUUGUUUUAAGAAAAACAUUGUCUUUACCCCUAUGGUGACUAGGGCUUUGGCCUCGUUUGUAAAGGCUUUUUCGGCAGUGGUGGUCCUUCUAUUUUCGCCUUCAAUCUCAACUGUAAAGGCCAGAACUAUUAGGCCUUCUACUCAAGGUGUUCAUAUAGAAGUUGAAUAGAGGCUUGAUGAUGCUUUUGUUGACAUUAUUCUUAGUUGAGCUCCCUUUACUUUCCUCACCCUAUCUAAGAAGGAGAGGCAUGCUAUGGAAAAUAUUCUUGGAUUCAAUUCCCUUAUAAAUAUUAUUUAUUUCGGUUUACUUGAGUUAUAGUUGCCCCUAAAUGAUUCUUAGAAAAUCACAUAAGACCAGGUUCAUCAUAAAUUUAGAUUUAGGGUUAGACACCAGAUGAUCACUGUGCAAAUGCAUACAACACUAGCUUAAAAAUGCAAUUAAGACUACAACAAUUCUUGCAAGAAAAACUUAAUAUGAAAAAUAAAGUCAAUCUUGAUUUUUUUUUCUUCUAUAGAUCAAUCAAGAUCAUAAUAAAUAAGAAAAAUUAUAAGCACUCAAUGUUAAACUUUUAAGUGUAAAUAGUUAAUCAAACAAAAAGUCAUAACUUUUCAUAAGUAUAACAAGCUUCAUAAUAAAUAAAAAAACCAGGGACUUAAAAAUGAAAAAAAAUGAAGUAUUGGUCCAAAAUGUUAAAUUAUCAAACUCAAGAGACUAAAAUUGAUUUUGCCAACUUUUUAGGUUGAAAGUGCUAAAAAGGUUGAUUUCAAAUUGUAACCAUAAAAGAAAAACCUUGUAUUCAUAUAUAUAUAUAUAUAUAAUUAUCCUUUUAAUUCUUUUUUCAAAAUCAAGAAUUAGUUUGACACCAAAAUGGUUUUGUUAAUAGCGUAAUAAAGUCGUAGAAAACAAAUCAUAAAGCCAAAUUGUAAGUCAGUAUUGUUAUAAUCCAAUUAUGGGGUAUUCCCUAAAAUUCAUUUUUUAAAAAAAUAAAAAUAAAAUAAAUAAAAUAAAGGCUGGCGCCAUGAAGAAAGCAAACAUAGAAGGAUUAAAAAAAAAACAUAAAAACCAAGCUGUAAUUUUGAAGAAAAUUCAAGGGCCAAUUGCACCCCAUUAUACCCAAAAAUAGAGAAAAAAAUGCAAAUUCAAGGUCAAAUUAAAUGAUUAUUGACCAAUUUGCAUAAAAAUUAAGUCCAAGGACAUAAUUAAAAUUUUAAUAGGUCAAUUUGAUUUAAUCAUGGGUCAAAUUGAAUUUUAAUUAUGUUUAAGAAUUAAUUUGAAUCCAAUUGAAGGAUUUAAUUAAGUGCAAGGACUUAAUUAUACUUUAAAUAGGUGAAAUUAAUUUUAUUUGGGGCUUAAUUGGUGAAAACUUAAGUUUGGGGGGCCUAAUUUGGGCUUAAUUAAGAAAAUUGCAAUUUUAAGAAACCAAAUUUAAUGUUAACCAAGUUAAUUGAUUGAAAUCAAAGGCCAAAUUGCAAGAAAAUUAAUGUUUUUGGGUCAAUCAGGGGUUAAAUUGAUAAAAUUCACAGCCAAGAACCAAUCUGCAAAAGACGAUGGAUAAUAGGGACUUAAUUGACAACAAAACCGGGGAUAAAAUUUAAGAAAUUGAAAGUUUAAUGGUCAAUUACGGGCUAAAUUGCAUAAAUCCGAGACCAAGGACCAAAGUGCAAAAGGCGCUGAAAUCUGGGGUUCAAAUUGAAGUUUGAUAGGGGCUAAAUUGCAUUAAAUCAAAGGUUUAGGGUUAAUUAGGGGUGCAAUUAAAAGAAUUCGAAAGCGGAAGAACUCAAUUGCAAUUGGAUAAAAAUUCUUUAAUUAACCCAAAACGUCACCGUUUGUGCAUAUAUAAAAAAAGGACCAGACGACUCAUUGUCAGAUCACUAUUUAUUGUCUUCUCCGAUUUUACCCGAAAUGACAGCUCACGGAGCUACUUUUAUGGUGCAUUUAAUGCGUCGUAUGUCCACCAAAAUUAACAACACAUGCAUAAAAAUGGUCACCUAACAUCCCUCUAUCCUCGAGUAUGGUUCAUUUAGGCCUAUUAACAUGAAACCGUCCCCAGUCCAAAGAGGCCAAUUCAAAAACUUUUAAAUUAAUUUCCCUUGUAAAAAAUAAAAAAAAUAUUUUGUUUUCAUGCAUACACCCAAACCCUAAAAAUUUUUCAAGCAUAUUUUCAUUAAGAAAUUGCAUCUUUCUCAUGCUUUGAAAAAAAAAAAUAGACAUCAUAACCAGUUUAUGAUCAUUCAUUAGGGUUUGAUUAAAAUAUCAAAAAAAAAAUUCCAAUUUGUUUUUAGGGUCCGAAUGUAAACUUUAAUAUUUGUAAGAUGUAAAAUUACAUGAUAAAGUAUACUCUCAGGUAUUAAAAAUAUAAGGUGUAAAUAAAUACGAUGCUAAGAUUUAUAAUUUAAAACGGUUAGGAUUUAACCCAAUAGAAUAGAGACUUUCUCAUGAAGAAAGAUCUAUAUAUUAGAAAAGAUCAAUGAAUAAAAACCUAACUUAGAAAAGAACAAUCAAAUAACAAUACAACUUACCUUAGAUAAGGUGUACUAAAAAUAAUAUGUCUUUUCUUUAUAUAAUCAAUCCCUUAUAUAAAUUCUCGUAAAUAAUAAAUUUUUAAUAAUCAUAAUAUUAGAUAAUAAUUUUUAAAUAUUAAUCAUAAUUUUACUAUUAAAUUCAAAAUUCCUCGACACACACCAAAGCUUACAAAAAUCACGAUAAAAAGUCUUCGGCCUGUUUGUUUAUGAGUUUCAAAAGUAUUUUUGAAAAAAAUUAAAUUUUUAUUAAUUUCAAAUUAAUAUGUUAUGAGUGUUUUCAAAUUAUUUUAAUGUGCUGAUAUCAAAAAUAAUUUUAAAAAAAUCAAAAAAAUUAUUAAUAUAUAUUUUAACAUUAAAAACUAUUUAAAAACUAAACGUAACUACACUAUGAAACAAGCUCGAAAUCAUGGUCACACAACGCCGCCAAACAUUAAUCAUGAAAUUCGGAUUUCUUUUUUCCAUUUGUUUUUAAACUACCAAACAAUAAAAGAAUCUCACUAUAUUUCCAUUUGUUUAUCUCCUUGCACAUUUGAGCUAAUAAGUAAUAACCUCUGUCUCUCUCCUGUCUAGGGUUUCGAACCCAAAAAAAAAUAAAAAAUUAAGCAGGAACGUUCGCUUACAACUCCCGCUUCAUAAUUCUAGGGUUUUAAUCGGCCGAGAGUCAAAAUCUCUCUGCCACAGCCACUUCACGUGCACUCUUUCUGGUCCUUUUGACCAGGUUUUUUCUUCGUUUUCUUGAUAACGGUGAUAAUUUUGAAGGGAACAUAGAAGAACACGGUGCUCCCGAAGAACGGUUUGAGUCUGCUGCUGAAAUUGCCCGCCGGGUAAUUCUAAAUUUCUAAAUUAUAUUCUUGCAUUUUGUUCUGAGUAUCUUGAGUUCGAAGAACGCUUUUUCGUUCUAAAUUAUAUAAUGCUCUGGUGAAUGAGAAUAAUCAGGAAAACUUUACUUGUAUUAUUGUGGAAGAGUGAAAUAUUGCUGUGAUGUUUGUCUUGGUAUUUUUAGACGAGGGCUCCUUUUGUGAUCGCGUGUUUGGUAAUUUUGUUACAUGUAAAGUACCAUCCAGUUAUUUGAAAAGUCAUUCAAACCAGGUGAUUAUUGUCGUUUGUCAAGAAAUAGGAAUUGAAGCAGCUGUAGCUGCAUGGAGCUUUGGCAUUGGUCCCCAAUUUAUCAUAUUGUAUCAGUUGGACUAAGUAUUUUGAUUGAUCAGAAUUCAAUUUUUUUUGUUGUCUUCUCUGCUGGGUGCCACUUUAAGAGUGGAAAAUGGAUUUGUGCCUUAGAAUAUAUCACUUUUCAACCUCAGUAGAUGGAAGUCUUAACAAUUGCAGAUGGCAAUUUUUUAUAUAAUCAAUUCAUCAUUUUUUGGGGCUAAUAUACAAAUGUGAUUAUGCAAGCACGUUGUAACAAAAGGUUGGAGAAUUUUGUUUCCUUAUGGAUCUCGUGUGUUUUUAAAAUGUGAAUUUGAGUCCUUGGAGCUUGGUUGAUGGGAGGAGAAGAAUGUAAAACCUGUAAAUUUAUUAAUUAAAGACUUAUUUGUGAUCAUCAAGUCCCAAGGGAAAAUAAUAACUUUUCUCUUGUAAUAAAGUGCGCACAGCACAUUCCCUUAUAACUAAGUUAGAUAAGCACUCAAUUGACAUGUUGUCAUUACUAUUUUCAAUGCUGUGGGAUGGAACACCUAGAAGUUGUUUAAUACUGUGGCAGAGCACACUCCAUUUGAUUGGGGUUUGAGUGUUUUGAUUGCUAACAUCUUUUGUGGACUCUGAAUAGACUGAAGGAGAGAGUUGGCUGUCGUUCAAUUGAGAUUUCUAGUUUAAUUUUCUUUGGGGUUAAGUUGACAGUCUGUUUUACCUCUCUUGCUCAAUCCCACAUAUGGGUUUUCUUUUUGCCUUUUUGUUUUUGGACGAUUAAUAUGCCAUUAUGUUGCAUUUGUUUGUGCUCUGUAUUCAUGCUUGACUGUUGAUCUUAUGUUCAUCCUGAUUAGGAGCGUGAAGAAAGACGCAAACGUAUGAGAAAUGAAAAUUUGGAAGACAGACCUGCGCAUUUGUCUCGGCAACCAGUGCAUGAUCAUCUUUUCCCAUCUAAACACUAUAAAUCUUAUGACAAAAGUAAACUUCCUGCUGGUAAGUUUCUUAUCUAAUUACUCUAUGCAGAAAUGGCUUCUGUGGUUUGCAUUAUAGAUGGUUUUUAACGGUGUUCACUGAUUUCAUUGCCAUAUGUUGAGUUAUCCAUUAGAGGUGGACGUUGCUGCCUUACUAUGUUCCUGAGUAUCAAUCCGUCGUUGAUUGUUUGUUGGUUAAAUUUGCACUUAUUGGUGGAUGUCGCUUGCUACUGAAAAAAUGUAAAAAAUAUUUUAUGAGACCAAAUUGUGUGUUUCUUUUGACCCUUAUAAGCAGCAGGAUAUUUGUGAGUCCCUUUGGGCCAAUACGCUAGUCCUCUAUUGUCUGGGAUGGGCCAUAUGAAGGUGUAAUUAUUUUUUCUUGUUCUGUUGUACCAUGGCUGUGAGUCUUGGAGUAGCUUAAUCAUGAGUUGUUCACCAUUCGGAUAACUAAAAUGUUUAGCAAGAAGGUGGAGCAGCAUUCACCACUUCCAAGAUAGCUUUUCAAUUACAUGAUUGUUUAGAAUUUUAGAUGUUCUUAGAUAUUUUGUUACUUGGUAGCAUAGUUUUAUUUCCUAUCACAGUGGUAUUGUUUCAGGAAUUCAUUUUUUCAUAUUUAGUAUUGAUUGCUUUCGUUUAUUCUUGAAGAAUUUUUAUUUCUAUCUGGUUUAGUUUCGGCAUCAAUAUAAGAGCACCUCCUAUGGAUAAAGGUCGCUUAUUUGAUGAUUGACAAUUAACUGUAGUACUGUACUAUUGGAAGAUCUUUGCAUUUUCUUCUUUCUCUUCUGUUUUUUGCUCCCAUUUCUGUCCAUCUCCUCCCUUACCUUAUUUUCCAUCUUACCUCACCAGGUUAAUAACAGGACUGUGUUUUUAGUAUUUUAUUAGUGCUACAGAAACAGACUACUUAGCAUCAGAGAUUGAUGAAUUAAAUGUACUGGAGAUAAUUACGCUGACAAAAAUUUAAAGGCUAUUCCCUGGAAGUCAAACAUUUUUUUCUUGUAUUACCAUGGUGAUUCCCUUUGUUGAUGACCAUUGUCAAUAAAGUCUUUUUGGCCGCAAGUUUAGGAAACCAGUUGUCAUCUUUUUUUAUUGCUGAUAUUAAUGAACAGUUCUGCUGAUGGGUAUUUGGCCUUGUAGUGUUCCUCACUGCAGUGACAGAGUAUGGGGAGGAUUUGGAUCGUCUUUGUUAGCUUAAGACCUUAGAGAAGGGGGAAAGGAAAAUAAAAAGAUAUCUAUGAAUGGUUCUCUGAGUUGUGGUCUUCUGGCUUUCUCCUUUCAGUCAUUCACUGUUGGUGAAACCUUUUCCUAUGCUUUCUUUAGUUUAAGGACGGUGUGACUGUAGCAUCUCAGUAUCCUUUUUUCACUCAAUAAUUUGCUAUCCAUAAUUGCAGGCUGGUUGGACUGUCCUGCAUUUGGCCAGGAGAUAAAUUGUAUCGUUCCUUCCAAGGUUCCACUUGGCGAAGCUACAAUGACUGUAUUCCUCCUGAUAAAAUAUACUCUUUUAAACAAGUUUUAGGAAGGAAAGUAAAGUAUCUUGAACUUGAAAGUCAUUUUUACUUCCCUUGAUUCCUAGUAAACCUCGUCUAUUAUGAGAGGGAAUAAUACAGUCAUGAACACUCAAUUAAACCCGACAUUUUCUGAAUCAGCCAUAUUAUCAAUCUAAAGGAACUAAAUUAGAGGAAAAAAGUUCCACAAUUUAGCAGGGUCACAUUGCCACUCAAUUUAAAAUUGCAAAUAACUUUUUGCUUUGUUCAUGUGCAUGUUUCUAACAGUGUAGAUUUACAUUAAGGAGUUACGAAGAAUAUGUUUUUCUCUCUAGGGCAGGAAAUAUUAUCUUGAACAAUUCUAAGUCUAUCCACAGAAUUUUCAGCUCGGUCUGGUGAUUGAUUUGACAAAUACUACCCGCUACUAUUCAACAACAGAUUUGGAGAAAGAGGGUAUCAAGCAUGUCAAGGUGAGUUGGCAAUGACAACAAUUUUCUUCAGUCUCUGUUUUUUACUGUAGAACAGCUUACCUGAAAAUAGCUUAUUUUCUUUCAUUGUCCAGAUAUAUUGCAAGGGGCGUGAUGCUGUGCCGGAGAAUACAGCUGUAGAUACCUUUGUUAAUGAGGUAUGCUUCUUUUGCAAUACCUUCUCAGGUUUUCUGUGUCUUUUUCCUCCAUUGGAUCUUCUUGUAGCAUAUGUCUUUUCCCACAUUUGGUAUUCUGCACAGACCACUAGCUUUGUUUCACGGUAGUAUGCACAGUGUUAUGUUUUUUCUAUGCUAUUAAGCUAUCACUGUUAUGAAUCUCAAGUUGUGUAGUGCAAUGCUAGGAUAGAGCAUCAUAUUGGAACCACAAAGCUCAAAUGUGAGCAUGAGUUUGAUUGUGAACAUAAGUGCUAUGUCUAAACCUUCAUAUGUGCGCUUGUUACAAUAAAUUGUUGAUCAUGAUUCUUCCUUUUAACCAAGUCAAACUGUCAACCCCCCCCUAUUCCCUACGAAACUGAAGUAACCGUGCCCUACCUAACCGGGGUAUUUAUCGAUCCACAUAAAGGCAGCAUAUCCUUCUCUCGUGAAUCAUUAAUACCUAAACAUGCUGUGUUAAAUGAGUGUAAUAUUAUACUAAACAAUCAUGCGUUUAUAAAACCUUUUCAGGUUAUGCAAUUUCUCUUGCAUCAGCAACAUACAAAGAAGUAUAUUCUUGUCCAUUGUACACAUGGGCAUAAUCGAACAGGAUAUAUGAUAGUUCAUUAUCUAAUGCGUUCUCAACCAAUGUCUGUCACUCAACCAAUGUCUGUCACUCAACCAAUGUCUGUCACUCAAGUAAGUUUCCAAUGUUUCCUUUUAUGUGUAUCUCAAUUGGUUUUAUUCUGCAAGCUAUAUGUUUUGAAACUUCCUUUGCUAAUGGUGCAGGCAAUAAAAAUAUUUGCUGAUGCACGUCCUCCAGGUAUAUAUAAACCAGAUUAUAUUGAUGCCUUGUACUCCUUCUAUCUUGAAAGAAAGCCAGAAAUGGUUGUUUGCCCACCAACUCCAGAAUGGAAGAGGUCUUCUGAAUUUGAUCUCAAUGGCGAGGCAGUGCCUGAUGAUGAUGAUGAUGGAGGUUCAGCUAAGAACCUGCAUGUAUGCAAAUUCUUUGAUCUAACAUCUAGUUGUCAUAUAUAUAUAUAUAUAUAUUGUGGUGGCAUGAUAUAAACAGGUGGUGUAGUGGAGGUAUUUUUGCAUAUAACUGGCAGUUUCUGCAUGAGAACUAAUUUUGGAAAUGUUGGCUUUAGUGGAAACUAUUAGAAAAUCUAAUUAUUAUUCAAGUCAACAAAUAAAAAUAUGGCAGCAGCACGGUGACAGAUGUAUUGUUGGUAAUGGUGCUCAUCUGUGAUCAGCUCGAUAUCAGUUUUUGAUCUUUCAUUUGGAGUUGUUAACUAGUUAGGACAAGAAUGGCCUUAGUUCUAGUGACUUUGAGCAUCAUGAUAUGUAAAAUUGAAUUCAAAGUUUAGUGAUUCUUGAAUUUGUUGUCAAAUAUUUUUCUUUGCUUUGCAUGAGUUUUACUGACAUUUUAGAGUUAAGAGACAUGUGUUAGAUUUCAAGUUGCAUGGGGAUCUUUUUCUUUCCUUUAAUGAUGUGAAGGAUGGACUGCUGUUGUGCCUGGCUCAUUGUUUGAAGAACUCUGAGGCUAUUGAACAUUUUAAAAUAUGGUGCUCUGUAGCAAGUGAUAUUAGAAGGUUCUAGUUUGAUGGGUUCUUAUACACGACAAUAACAUAGUGGCUCCCUGAUGAUAGGCCAGCAUCCCUAACUUUCUUUCACAGGAGUUUUCCUAUAAUUUUUCCAUGUGGAUUCAAAUGCAGUUUUUUAUAUCCUUCUUUUUUAGAAGCUACCCUUUUUUUUUUGUUCAAUUGAAAUUAAAUAAAGAAGAUGGCUUGGUUAUUCCAUUAAGGAAGUUCUAAACUGGAUGCUUGAGUUCGGCAUUAACCUUUAUACUGGCAAGAAGGUGAUCGGUGGUUGCAUGCAUUAGAGACCGAUGCUGAGUUUAGACAGAAAGCUUUGUUGUUAAUUAUUUUAAACUUUUGGUGUUAUUCUUCCUUUAUAGGCCAAACAUAAAUGUUGAAAAUGCAGUGUAGAAAUUUUUUGAAAUGAAAUUUAUGGUGAUGUAUUGCUAUAACAAAUUGAUGGGGGGUUCAAGUCUUUUGUUUUUUCCUCUUCCUUUGCUUUAUGAAUUCUUAUGUAUUGCCUCUCAUUUAGCUUAAAUCUCCCUAUGAAAUUGUAGCAUCCUGUUUGUUUUGAUUUUGUGCAUUCCAUUUACCAUUUCAGGACAAUCAUGAGAUUGAUGUUGUAAUGACAAAUGAUGAUGUUCUGGGGGAUGAAAUACCUAAUGACCAGCUCGAUGCACUGCGGCAGUUCUGCUGCCAAACGCUUAAGCUGAAUGUUCCUGUAAUACUUCUUUGCCUCUCCUUAAACUUUUUUUAUGCUGCUCAAUCAUUGUUAUAUUUUAAGAUAUCUUAGAUUUGGUUUAGUACCCAUGUCUUUUGGCUCCCCUAGUUACCUUGUACUGAUAUGCAUUGUCCUGAUCAUUUCGUUCAAGUGUGAAUUCAGUUUUCUCCCUGUAAUAUGUUUUUCACAAAUCCUGCACCUCCUAGGUUUCAUGUACAAAUGCAAUUAGUUGUUUUUUAUUUUCACAUAAAAAAUGAUUGAAAUUUGAUUGUGGAAUGUAUCCUGAUAAUGGGUGAAAUAAUGUUGUUCAUAACUUCUUAAUUUUUGAAAUCUUGAGCUUGAAAUAUCUUCAUUCAGACUUCAUUUUGUACUGACUUUUUUCUUAAAUUUCAGGGAAGAGGAAAACUGAUAUUCCCUGGGUCACACCCUGUUUCCCUCAGCAGGUCCAAACUUAUAUAUUUUUUUAAUUAUUGUUAUUUUGUGUUUUUUGUUAUGCUUUGAUAUACAUAUUAGGUGGAGGAGCUUCAGUUUUUGGAGUUAGGAUCUCUGUAACUUAGAACAGAGGUGCCUCUAAUCACCAUCUUUUAAGCUAUGAUUUAGACAUGCAAGGCUAUGAAAGAAAACCUAAUAUUCAUGCUCUCUGGAUGGAAAUUGCCAUGUUUUAGGUUAAAAACUCAAAACCAUCGAAUAUGAUAAUCUUGUAAUUAUUAAAAAUGUUAUAGUAAUGGUGAAGGGAAGCUGAGAUUUUAUUGAGCAAAUGAAGUCCUGGCAUUAUGAUCGAUAACUGAAUAUUGCUGUCAUUUGUAUUUCCUACAACCUGAAUAAUAUUUAGGGGAAAUAGACAGCAAACUAUUGUCUGAGUUUGUACUGUUGCUUUUAUAUAACUUAGAACACAUCAUAUAUAAAUAUAUUCUAGUUUGCGUCCAUUUUUGAGUGGCUUGAAUUUAGUUUGCGUCCACUUUGGUGUCACUUAAUAAGCAAAGGUUUUAUUUUUGAGGCAUGCAGGGAAAACUUAAGGCUGUUGAGAACGUCUUAUUAUUAUGCAACAUGGAAGGCUGAUGGAACAAGAUACAUGAUGUUAAUUAUGGAGGAUGUGUGUUUUUUGAUAGAUAGGGAUUUUAAAUUCCGAAGGGUACAUAUGAGGUUUCCUUGCAGAUACACCAAUGAAGUAUGCAUCUACUCAUUUCUUCUUCUAGGAUGGUUUCUUUAGGACUCUUAUUUGUAUGGUUCUUGACAUCUUGCUCAGAUGAUCUUCAAUAUGACUGCUUUUGUCUUGUUUUGAUAAGGGUCCAGCUGAUAAGACACACCACUUUACGUUACUUGAUGGGGAGAUGAUUAUUGAUACUUUGCCGGACUCACAGAAGCAGGAGAGAAGAUACCUUAUCUAUGAUAUGAUGGCGAUCAACCAAGUGUCUGUCACAGAGGUUAGAUUUACAAUGAAAUUUAUGGACAUUAAAUUAUUUUUGCAGAUCAAAGUCACUUAGUCUUUUGUUUUCAUUCCUCCCCUAAAGCAAAGAACCAUCGGAGACUUUUUGUGAGAUCUAUAUAUUUAUUUGUCUAUUUUAAAUGAAUUUAGUGGAGCAAUAUUUGGUCAUUUAAUGAGGGCAAAUCUUAUGGGCAAAGCUGGGGUAAUUUUGUCGGAUGUUAGGGGCAAUUGAAGACUUUCAAUUUUGUUUGGGUAGGGGAGGGGGGGAUGUUUAACUUCAUCAAUUUAAUUCUGUAAUCGGGGGAUUUUAUCUGGUGGGGGCAAAAAACCUAGAAGUUUACUACAUGGUGCAUGGUGUUAUUUUUUGGGGCAGUGUGGGCCAAUUUUCUCACUCUGGAUCUGUCCCUGGUGGUGUAGAAUUGAUUGAAAUUCUGCAAUCAUGAAGUGCAUUCAUGUGCCAUUGGUGAAAACAUUUAACAAUAUAUCCCAUUCCGUUUAAGCCUUUUGUCAGUAUAUUCUUGAACAUCACCCCCAUCUUUGGCUGCAAUUUUGGGGAUUCACAACCAAUGUCAUAAAGAUGCAGGUUUAUGUGCCUGAGAGUUAGGGAUGAUUUGAAAGGGGGGUGACUUUUCUCUUCACGUGCUUUUAACAAAUGAGCACUAAGCACUGCAAUACGAGGCUUUUCUCUGAAGCUGGCUGAUAAAGAUGGUUUUCACCCUGCUGUAGCUUUGUGAUAGGAGUAGUUUACGAAAUAAAUGGAAAGCACUGGACAAGUUGGAUUGGAUCUCUUAAAUGCUGGUGUAAGUGUAAACAAGAAAAGAGAUCUGUUUGAGAAUUCUUUCAAAUUUCUUCAGUGAUUGGAUGCAGGUUAAAGGGCUGUGUUGGCACCAAUAUAAGCUGCCAAUCAGCUCAUAAAGAAUAACUGGGAAUGUGGAGAAACCUGUUUGUAUGCUAGGCAACCAUUUGAUAACCUUUUUUUCAUUGAUCAGCAGUUGCUCUACAAUUGAUUUUUGUGCCCGGAGUACUAGGAGGAGAAAAACAUGCUCAUAUGGCAUUUUCUAUUUAAUUAUUUUGUUUGUUUGUAUUUGCAAUGAUCUCUUCCUAAUCAUUUCAACUGAUUUUCUGGGAUAUAGUUUGAAGAGUAUUUUGGGUAAUUAGAAUCAUUCAUUUAGAUGACUAUGCUGUGCUUGUUUCAGGAACACAUACCAGAGUAUACUGUAUACCUCCAAUCUAAUGAAAUGCUUUUCCUUUAUUCCAUCUACUAAUUAUAGGCUUCGAUGAUCAAAUGUUUCUGCAGAAGCCCUUUCAUGAACGAUGGAAGAUGCUUGAAAAAGAAGUGAUCGAGCCCCGGAAUUAUGAACGCCGUAACAUUUGCCAGAGUCGAAAUCCAUAUUAUAGAUAUGACCUGGAACCUUUCAGGGUAUGAGAAGAUUUUGUAUGGAGUUUGCAAUAUAUGAUACUUGUCCCCUCUUAUUUUAUUACUAAAUUAUGUUUUUUGUUUUUUUGGAAUUGUUUACCAGGUGAGAAGAAAGAAUUUCUGGCUGCUUUCUACUGUUACCAAGCUCCUAAAGGAAUUUAUUCCAAAGCUUUCACACGAUGCAGAUGGUCUUAUUUUUCAGGUGACAAGGAUGGCUUUUUGAACUUUUUGCACAACUCAUCCAUUGGAGAUUGUUUUGUUCUAAAUACUUUGAGAAUUUGUUUCCCGAUAUUGUGGUCCUAUGAAUGAUCUAAUAAGUAUCAUUUGCACACAACACCUAAAAAUUCUGUAUACAUUGCACCUCUCACAUAUCAUACAGUAAAAGACUUGUCAUGUGUUAGAUGCUUUUUAUAGUGUUAUUCCAUUGUGAACAAGAGAUUACUCAUGAUCUUAUGUGCCAGGGUUGGGAUGAUCCUUAUGUUCCUCGCACUCAUGAAGGCCUUUUGAAGUGGAAAUAUCCUGAAAUGAACUCAGUUGACUUUCGAUUUGAGGUGUGACUGUCAACAUCACCAAAAUAGCUGCUAACUCUGUUGUUUUUGUGUUUUCCAUCUUCAUCCCUUUGAUGAAUGGGCUUGAAAUUCUCAAUUGAUGUUUACAUCCUGAUAUUUAGUUGCAUGUAUUGACAGGUUGAUGAUGAUGAUCGUCAGUUGCUUUAUCUGAAUGAACGAGGGGCAAAGAAACUGAUGGAAGGCCACAGAGUUGCAUUCAAAGGUUGAUGUGAUUUUUCAUGCAUCUUGAUUUCACAAGUUUCGUUCCAGUAUAGAAAAUCCUAAUUAACACUUUCCGCAACCCUUGUAUUGAUAUGGAAAACACUGGGAUUUCAGUUGAUAACCGUAGGUGCCUUUAAUAAUCUAUUCCAGCUGUUGCUAACCAUUUGCUUGUUGAAUGUGAUGGUAGGGAGCUUUUUUUUUUUUUUGAAUAGUGGGUAUUUUGCCAUUCAGAUUGGCAAAUGCGGUAUUCCUUGUUAAUGCAAGCAACUGUAUGGGUGUCCAUUGCCUUGAGCUGAAUCCCAUUUUCACAUGCUCGUAUUUUUUCAUCUGCGCAUGCUCUCAGCCUGCUAUACAUUCAUUUCGUUUUCUUUGUUUCAUUUACCUGGUUGUUUUUUGGCUUUCAAUUUAUUGUUCUGGUUCUUACUUCAAGACCUAAAAACUUGCAGAUGAUUUAGAUCCCUCUUCAUACUCAGGGAAGAUAAUUGAGUGUUCUUGGGAUUCAAAGGAACAUGUAUGGGUCUGUAUGCGGGUGCGGACUGAUAAAUCAACACCCAACGAGUUCAAUACCUACAAGAAGGUCUGUUCUAUCACCUUUAUACGCGCACAUAUCUGUAUGUAUAUGUGAAUUCUGAUGCAUGUAAGUUGUAUGUAUUUGCCAUGCUUUAGUUAAUAUGCUACUAUAGUAUCUAUUUGACAUUCUUCCUCUUCCUCUUUUAUGUUUUUUAUGGAUUACUCUUUACUGGACUAAAUGAAUCUUCCUGCUGAUUCUUAACAGGUGAUGCGAAGCAUCAAGGAUAAUAUAACAGAGGAUGUGUUGUUGAAUGAGAUUUACGAGAUCAUUCGCCUGCCCAUGUAUGCUGAUAGGAUCAGGAUUGAGAGUGAACCUCAGCAGCAUGCAAAUGCAUCUAGGCGCAGGUGAUGGACAGAUCGGUAAAUAGCCACCAUGUUUAAAUUGCCAGGGGAACAAGAAGAAUCCAAUACUGACCUUUGAUGCUUGCAUGCUCUGGGUCUUUGCUGGUUUUACUUGGUUGAAGUUGGGUAUGUACUGGAGCUUAUCGUCUGGAGGUCACCGUGAUGUUAUGUUAUUAGUUAUAGCUCUAUUGAAAUCCACCCAGUGGGUGCUGUGCUGGUGAGUUGUAUGAUCCACUUAGUGCGCACUAAAAUAGUUUUCUGCAUCAGAAUCAUGCUACAAGU